GAUUCUGACGAGUCAGCUUAAAAGUCUGUGUCUGACUUAGUUAAGGAGAUUUAACAACAUGCUGCUGGGUGGAAGGAAGUCUCUUCGCAAACGAAAGCGAAAUGUACGGUCUCGGAAGGAGGUGUACAGGAGGGGACGUUGGGGAGGUAGGUAGUCGAAGAGGUCUCGCGACAACUGAACGAGGCGGGGGUGGAGGCGGAAGCGGAGAGGCGACGGUACGAACGGUCGCCAGUCCUGCAAGCGGCAACCGAAACAGUGCGGCUGCCUGUGGGGCUACGGUUCGUGCAGGUGCUAGUCGAAGAGCAACUGCUUAACGAGCCGCUUGUCUCCGGUCCACUGGUACCCGUGCGGCCGCCGCUGCGAGAGGUCUCAGCUCGGGGUGGGUGUCACGCAGUACUUAGGCGGGUGGCGGCCCACGCGGUCCUACCGGUGGACGCCGCGGGUGGGCGCGUGAUGGUCCGUGAACGACAGGCCCAGCGGCAGCGGCCGCCACAAGAGUGCAUCGGUGUGGAAGUGCAGCAGCCCGUUGCUCAGUCGCGGAGACUAUUGGGUGUACUGUCCGGUCGCCGUGCUCUGGUCCCGGUACGGCUCGACGUACUCGACGCGCCCGCCGUACGUGGGCCGCGACGGCUUCGAGUGCAUGUGGUGCCUGAACCGGAAGAACGGCAGGUCGGUGCUGUACGUGGCGGCGCGCAGUAGCGAGACGCCCAGCUCUGAUCCACGCGUCGUGUCUCUCUGGCCGGGGUGCCGCUCUUGAAAGGACGGACGCCGACGGCGCUCUUCGCGGCGCCUCGGCACGAGGUCGAGCAGCUUCGACAAGUGGUGCUGCGGCAGGUGCCGGUACAGCUUGAGGGCCUGGAGGACGUAGUGGGGCGAGGGGUACCUGCACCUACCGUUCUUUACGCCGCCGUCGACGGACGGCUCCUAGAACGUGAGUUUGCCGACGUCCUGGCUCUACAGCUGCUCGAGCAGGCGCCUGCGUUAGCGGAGCACGGCAGGAACGGACAUCUCCACGAGCUACGUGUCGUUCCGCUUGCGUGGUUUCGGCACCUUCUACAUCGUCCCGUGCGGCUCCAAAGCACAGUACCCGUCGCAGGUGCACACCGUGUAGGGCCUCUGCUACGUCGAGCCGGCCGCACCGCGCAGGGCUUCCGUCAUGACGAGGUGGCGGAGCGGCUUGAAGAACAACCGGAGCUUCUUCGGUCCGUGGUACCGCCCCCUGCACUAGUCCAGGUUGGAGAGCGUGGGGAGGCCGUCCGGCCGAAGCCGCCGGCCCUUCCCCUAGCACCACUGGCGCUCGUGGCGCGGCAGGUCCCACUGUGCCAGCUGCGCCGAGACCUGUUCGCUGCGCAACCGCCCGCAGCACUACUACCGCUGGCUGCGAGGUACCCUCCGCUCUUCCGUCGGCUACAGGCAGUACCCCUGCUACACCGACUACGAAGGAUAGGUACCCUGCUCGUGUUUCACUCCGAAAGACCGCCAGAGGUAACGGACAAUGACACGACGUGAUACCACAGGUGUUUAAGCUGUUUCAACCCAUACUGACUUUUAAUACUCUACCCUUUAUACCGAGAAUCAAACACACACUGCUUGACGACCCAUCCUAGAACAAUAUAUACGUCCAAAUACCCGACGCUGGCCCACACGCACGUACCAUGCUCCGGCACAGCUGUGUAACGACGCGUCACGCGUGUGUCUCCUGCUUUUUUUUAAUCUCACACCACU
rnacentral:rRNA from 1 species